rnacentral:rRNA from 1 species
CAGCCGCCGCGGUAAUACGAAGGGUGCAAGCGUUAAUCGGAAUUACUGGGCGUAAAGCGUGCGUAGGCGGUUUGUUAAGUCUGUUGUGAAAUCCCCGGGCUCAACCUGGGAAUGGCAAUGGAUACUGGCAAGCUAGAGUGUGUCAGAGGAUGGUGGAAUUCCCGGUGUAGCGGUGAAAUGCGUAGAGAUCGGGAGGAACAUCAGUGGCGAAGGCGGCCAUCUGGGACAACACUGACGCUGAAGCACGAAAGCGUGGGGAGCAAACAGGAUUAGAUACCCGGGUAGUCCCUGUCUCUUAUAA